rnacentral:lncRNA from 1 species
GUUUUAAGCAAGUGGAAUCUUGGGAAAUGAAAAUCACAAAAGGUUCAUUAUGCUUCAUGUCUUCCUUGUCUCCCUGACUUCCGACGUAUGGAACGCUGUAUGGUCGAAACUUCCACGGUACGUCUUCAAGUAAGUUAAUAUGUGAAUGCUCGGGAUGCUUUACCUCCUUCAUCCCUCCGGAUGCGCACUGAAGGCCAUGCUUCUUCCUCACGCUGCGGAAAAGAGCCCCGAAGAGGUUUUGAGUAAGUGGCCUACAGUCACGUGGGACAGCCAUCGCUUGACCAGGUCUCAGUCAGUUCACGACCGACCAUUCCAUUCAGUUCAGCCCAGUUACCUGCUGAAGUUUACUGCCCAGAUCUGCCAUCCUGUGACCACUGGCUCUUCUCCAAAAUCAAAAUGAUCACAAAAUGCAAACAUUCUGAAUUGAUCUGGAACAUCAGGGCAGUCACAACAGCACAAUGAAACGCACUCAUGAAAGAAGACUUCCAGAACUGCUUCAGAAUGUAACAAGCAUGACGGGAUAAGUGUUUCGAAGCCAGGUUGCUCUGAUGCCGUCAAUCCUCACAGGUGUGACUGCAGGACACACUGGACAUCCCAGCGAUCUUCACCAUCUGCCCUGACAAAAUGGACAUGUGGUAGGUGCAGGAAGAGGCGAUGGUCCAGGGUGUGGGAGCUGCUGUCCCUCUGCAGGGAUGACUGGCCUAACAGAGCUCUCGAAGAGGCCUGCCACCCUUGCACAUCAUCGACAGCAGCGUGCUUUAUAGACUCUGACAUCGGAAUCCACAGCGGUGUUCUGGCUAUGCUCCGGGAUUCGAGCAGCAAUUUCAUCACAAGAACUAUCGGCAGUCCUUCGGCUGCUUUGAACUGCAGCUGGGGGCGUCUGUCCCGGUCUCUGCCCUCCCUCCACUUCACAGCCACGUUUCCAGCCAGGCCCGUCUUCCUUCCCGCUCACCCCCAGCGCACACAGCUCGAGUGUGCUUCGUGACAAGUCUGGAACCAUGCCCUUUAAGAGCCAGAUAAAUGGGCACGCAGAGUCCACGGCUCACAGGCUUCAAGAGAAUGCUGAUUUGCUCAUGGAAGCCAUUCAAAGGGUUCCAGGGCCCAUCCGCGGAGCUGUCACAUUGUUAGACCACAUUAAACACAGGCCUGUGCAAUAUUGAUGUGUUUCGUAACUUCAGAAAUAACAAAAACCUCAACUGCUUCCAGGCUUUUAAUUUCCUUUUGUAACCAUUGUUAACUGACACUUCAAUGCAAAAUUAAAAACUAAUCCUCCAUUUUACCCCUCCAAACUCUCCCCCUGUCUCUAUUUCGACCUCUAAUACCCCCCAAAAGAGUCCA